rnacentral:lncRNA from 1 species
ACUGAAGGCGUCUCCAGGCCCAUGGAGCCCCCAACCCAUCCCCACCGUGCCCACUAAGCCAUGUCCCUAAAUGCCACCUCUCCAUGGUUCUUCAGCACCUUUGGGGCAGCCUGUUCCAAUGCAUCACUGCUUUUGGAGAUGAAAUCUUUCCUAAUAUCCAACCCAAACCUCCCUCCUGAACCUCGAAGGGGCUGCUCCUCUUUUCUGGCAUGAAGAGCAGCCAGGUGGGCUCACCACCCCUCACUCCCUCUAUCUUUAACCAACGUGGCCG